AACUCCGGUGGUAUGAGAUGGGCCCGCGUCAGAUUAGCCAGUUGGCAGGGUAACGGCCUACCAAAGCGACGAUCUGUAGCCGGCCUGAGAGGGCGGACGGCCACAUUGGGACUGAGACACGGCCCAAACUCCUACGGGAGGCAGCAGUGGGGGAUAUUGCACAAUGGAGGAAACUCUGAUGCAGCGACGCCGCGUGAGUGAAGAAGUAUUUCGGUAUGUAAAGCUCUAUCAGCAGGGAAGAAAGGCUCGAAAGAGAGAUGACGGUACCUGACUAAGAAGCCCCGGCUAACUACGUGCCAGCAGCCGCGGUAAUACGUAGGGGGCAAGCGUUAUCCGGAUUUACUGGGUGUAAAGGGAGCGCAGACGGAUGUGCAAGUCUGAAGUGAAACCCCACGGCUCAACCGUGGGCUUGCUUUGGAAACUGUAUAUCUAGAGUACUGGAGAGGUAAGCGGAAUUCCUAGUGUAGCGGUGAAAUGCGUAGAUAUUAGGAGGAACAUCGGUGGCGAAGGCGGCUUACUGGACAGCAACUGACGUUGAGGCUCGAAGGCGUGGGGAGCAAACAGGAUUAGAUACCCUGGU
rnacentral:rRNA from 1 species